rnacentral:misc_RNA from 1 species
AUCGUCACCCACAUUUGAUUUUUCUCUGUAACUGAUGAAGGUCUCAAAACCGUCUCCUUUAGCACCGUAGUUCUUGAAAUUGUUCUCUGGGACAUUCCCAUUGAACCCAUAAGACUUGAAGGUAUCAUUAGCUCCAUUACUAUUCUCGCCGUAAUUCGUAAAAUCCGACUGAAUCGCAUUCGAGUUCUCUCCAUAGUUCGUAAACUCAUUAGGGACUGCAUUCCCGUUCUUCCCAUAACUGGUGAAUGAUUCGCUACCGGAGUUUGU